AUCACUGCUGUCCUGAUAUCAAGUCCUAGAUGAGAGCUAACCUUCUCCAUCUGAUUGUCAACAAGCCCGUGGUUUUCCUGCUUGGUUCCCGUCAGUGUCUCCUCGCCUCAGACGCUGACUGCAUCUCUAAUCAUGCAUGCUCUCUGCACCUCACUGAGCCAGGACAGAAACUUAGCUUUUCAAUCCUCAAAUGAAUUUUAAACCACAGAUCAUGCGAUGACCCUUUCUGCCUUCCCCCACCUCUGCAAUAUUGCCUGCUUCCACCACUACUUCUCUUCUCAGACUGCUGAGAUCCUCAUCCAUGCUUUCUUUAUGUCCAGGUUUGACUAUGCUAACCACCUACUUGACUGACUUCUCAAUUCUUCCCUCCACAAGCUGCAGAUUAUUCAAAACUCUACAGCUCAUGUCUUCUCCUGCAUUAGUGUACAAGAAGCUGCAAUCUGACAUUGAAGGCUUUGAACAUCCAGGACAUGGCAAUCUGACUGGAUGGGCUAAGCAAAGUCCUGUUGCUGUUGAAUGCAGUGCUGAUGAUCCGAGGCAGCACAAUGAGCGCGAUUAGCAGGUGGUGGACCGGUCUGAACCAAAAGCCUCAAGGACCGGUUUUCAUGCUGUGAGGAGCCUAUGCGCAGAGGAAGGGCGGCUCCAUCAACCGGAAGUGACGCCAUGUGUUCCAGACUCCUCCCCACCUCUCCGCACAGGUUUCCUGGGCUGCAGACAGGUCUCCUGAACCAAUGAGUUACUGGAGAGUGUGGGGAAGAUCCCCAUUGACUGGAAGGCUCAGGAGGAUGAAGGUGCUAAUAUUAGCUGAAAUGAUUGAUGUGGUGGUUGAGGUAAAAGGGAAUCGUGAAGAUUCUGAUGGUGAUGGCUGUGCUGUCAGCUUGACCCACUCGAGUUGGGGACUGGACAUUUUGCAAUCCCAGAAUCCUGGUUUGUCUUAAGGUGACCAAAACUGAUAUCGCUAAGACUCAUGACUUGUUUGGCUGAAAUAGAACUGAUUCUAUGGACUCUCAAGGACAUUGGUAACAUCAGUACAUAAAGGUUGCCAAGAACAAAAGGAGUAUACCGACCUUGAAGGAUAUGUUUUUCACCAUACAAUGAAUGGCAAAAACAAGCUGUUGAAGGUCUCACUGCCGACUUGGCGGACGUGACUAAAAAGGUCUAAGUUUGGGAACGAAGAAAAGUCUAACCGAUCUUAAGAAGAGAUAUUCUACAUUCAACAUUAACAAGCCGAUUCCUAAUCACAGCCGCUGUAUCAAUCUGAUUAAUUAAUUGCACUGAACUUGUAUUACUCAUGUCUUAUGCUUUUGUGAUUACCGAAGCCAUAAUUUUAUUCACAAUGAUUGUGUCUUUAUGUUAUUUGCGCUCCUAUUAAGGGCUACACAGGUGCAAUCUGUCUAGUUAGCUAGCGUAAUAAAUCAUAAAGUGAGAGAUUGAAAAUCUUAUUUUCUCACUCUCAAGAUGGCGACUGUUAGUAUAAGAAAAGGUUAACAGAAUAGAUGGCUCACAUGCCUGUGAGUAGGGCACCUGACUCGAGAUCACGGGAGUGCAAGGUUAUGAGAACAUACUGAUUAAGGAAGAACAGGGAGGGUGAGCAAAGGAACAAGGAAGAAAAGUAGUCUCAGCAAGCAAGAGGGACAUACACAAGGGCACAUAGGCUAGUGGAAAAGUACCAUCACGAGCAGAUCACGAAUACACCAACUAGCUGGGUAUAAAUACAACAGCCACACAAAAGGAAAGUUGAGCUCCACAGAGUAAGAACUACAGGUUGCUGAGCCGAGUGCUGGUCAUCAAGCAAGACUGCUUAUAUUUCUGUUACAUUGUCGAAUAAACUAUCUUGAUUGUA